ACUUUGAGCAAUGUAGCGACUUACUGCACUCAGUCGACUGUGAACUCUCGUCGCGAUCGGAUGGGAAAAAAUUGGCCGGUGCUCAUAAUAUGAGCCACCUAGAAGUGUUGUUCUCUUGUUGCGUUUUUUUUGGUUGAACAAAAAAGAACUUUGGAAUAUUACGUACGACUUGAGUGUGUGCCAAUUUUUUUCCAAUUCGAGAAAACGACUGAAAAAACAUUUGAUGUGAAAAAUGGAAAAAAAAACAUUUGAUGAAAAAAAAAUAGUUUGAACUUUAGUGAAUAUGAGGAAAAAAAAAGUGAAUUUCGAAGAUUUCUCUGCAGAAAUGAUAAUAAAUUGGAUUUUUUUCGAUUUAAAGUGGAUUUUUAUGUGAAGAAAAAAAAAAACAAAUCAACGACGAAUUGAACAUAUUUUUUCCAAUUUUGUCAAGUUUUUGCACUUUGAAAUGAACAUUGGAAUUUUUGUUGUCUUGUCGUCGAAUGUGAAAUAGUGUGGAAGUAGCCAAAUUUUGUGCUCGUGACUGAACAUUGAACAAGAAACGAAAAAAACUAAAAACAUUGUACAAAUUCAAUUGAACUUUUUUCUUUGGCAAUCCAUCUGAAUUUUUGGACAUUUCAAUUGCGUGAUGUUUUGAUCGGUGAAUGAAAUUUCAUGUAUUCCUUGAGAAAAAAAUAUUUUGAACUUAAAAAGUGCAAUUUCUGCAGUUCAUUAAAAAAAACGAUCGAACGAAAAAGCUUUAGUGAAUUUGAGUUUUCAAUUAAUUUUCAUGAUACAACUGUAUUAUCUAACUGUGUUUAGUUGUUCACUAAAAGUGGGAAAAAAGUCGAAAUUUAAUAGCAAUUCAUGAAACGGCGAUAAAAAUUUGACGAGAUUUUGAGCAUCGAUGGACUGAAGAAUAUAAAUCACAAGAAGAAUCACAUAGAAUUCGCUACAAUUAGGUUUUGUCUUCGUUUCACGGUACCUUCAAAUACCCAUUGAAUCAAUCGAACGAAUCGUCAGUGUUUGAGCUCUCCGAAUUUGGCUACAUUUGUUUUCCUGUUUUUCGAACGUGUUACCUGGACAAAGUGGAACUUCAAAAUAGCUUUCGUUUAGUCAUACUAUUGCUACUGCACAUUCGACGGGUGGAUUAAUACUAAAAGAUAUUCAUCAUCAGUUUAUAUUGUUGCUGAAAAAAACUCAAUCAACCGACCAAGGCAAACGGAAUACAGUCACGGUCAAGUUCACCGUCAUAAUUUAUCGAAAGCGUAUUAAACGAUGGCUUGGUCUAUGGCAAUCGAUUAGGAAUAUCAAAAUUGUUGUUCUGGAGAGGUUAUCAUCGUGUCAUGUCUAACCACAUAUGGUUAGCUGUUGUUCUACACACCCUCGAUUUAUUUGAAACGUAGAUUUGCAACUGCUUACAAUCUCAAGCUACUCACAAAUGAUCAUUCCUUCAAGCAACUUUAAAGCCGUGAAUUUGAAAUCAGCGAUUUAUUCUGGAUUUUAGAAUCGUCCGUCAAAUCAGCAUUGUUCACUUCUUUGUCAUACCAAAUUAAACCAACAUUUUCAAAACUACCUGGAUAAUUGAGAAAAAAGAUCAGAGGAACUUGGCAUUUCAUCGAUUAGUAUCACCAAUUGCCAAAGGCAUUUAGUUCGACUAUGAUCGACCAAAAGAUCCGAAUCAAUGAAAUCAACGUUUACGUGAAAAAUCAAUGAGAAUUCGUGAUUUUGAAGUGAAAAUUUAGCCCAAAAAAGGAAUUUUCAUGAAAACACAAUGACUUUAUUGCCCAAAACCAAUUGGCUACAGCAUUGAAACGAAACAUCCGUGCCAAUCGCAGCUACACAAACUAGUUUAUUGUUGACAAACUACAAUCUCUUCAACAAAAGCGACACAACAUCCGAUAUCAUUGGAUUGGCCAAUAGCCACAUCACCUCAAGCGUUGCUGAAAUUCUCAUUUGACCCAGAGAUCUCGAUGAUUGGCUACGAUGUCGCAUUCAUAUACAACAAUCAGCUCACAAAUUUAUCGAAAAUGAAUGCCCAAAAUCGAAAUAUAGCUGUCUUAUUCGAGGAAUUUAAUAGAAAAUGGAUUUGGGCAUCUUGAGCUUGAGAACACAUCGUUUCACCAUGAGUAUUUCUGAGUCGCAAUGAAGGAACGAAAGACAUUAGCAUGAAAGUACUUUAUCGGAGAGUUAGGCAAUUCGUUGCAGAGUUUGGCGGCAUCGGUUAAUUCAACAAACAAUUUUGAUCAGCAUCUUCAGAAGAAUAGUCACACGAAAAACCAGAAAAUGUGUCAAAUCUUCGAGCAACAUUUUCCGUCCAUGAUAAUUGCAUUACCAAUGCCAGCGCUUAAAGGAAUUUUUGAGGUCCCGUUCGAUCGUAUUCGUGCGCAUUUCAAUCUGAAGUUAAACGUCAAGAUCAAUGAUAUUGUUGUUUUGUUUUUCGAUCGUUCAACUUUUUGGGCCAAAUACAAACGCAUUUUAAUGAAUUUAGAUUAUCGAUUGCAAAUAACACAGCAAACACAAUGAUCGAACUACGCGUUAGGUUAAUAAGCGUUGAAAAUCGUGUUUACCAUCUGAACAACUGAAAACAGCAGUCGGUUUUACUAUCUUCUAAAUUCAAUGGAAUUCGUGUCUCGCCCGCUACCAAGGAAAAAAGAAAAAAUAUUGAGUUGACAAAAUUGACUGAAAAAUUCAACUUCAGAUGUUGAAUUGAAUGAUUUUAUUAGAAUUUUGUAAAUAUUUUCUUCAUUACGGCUAUAAAUAUCAUCCACAAGAUGCGUUGAA